rnacentral:lncRNA from 7 species
AAUUUCAGUUUACUGUGGGAAAGAUAAUAAAGGGUUUUGAACAGAGUCCUGUGAAAAUGUGAUUGCAAAGGAGUCACGGAAAUUCAGAACCUUCUGAAAGAGUCAGGAGAUAUAGUUGGUUUGGUGAAGAGUUAAUUUCAUUACUCCGUUAAUCUUAUUUCUGAGCUUGUUUAACAGAAGCAGAUUUGCAAAUGACUUUGGAUUCAGCAGGAAGAUAAUUUUAUGGGGCACUUGGACUUGGAAGUAGGCGUUUUGCAGAUUAAAGCAUAUGGUGUUCGAAUCCUCCCUGUCUGUCAUCAGGAACAGAUGAUGCCAGCCCACUCAAGCCUUUAGGCUCUAUGGCACUUCGUAGAGUUUCUGCCUUUAGCUGAAUCUUACCAUUAUCGCUGAGAACCCUUAGAACUGCAACUAAAACUGCGUUGUUGUAUCAUGCCAUUCGAAGGAGAACUGAGUCCAUCUGUAUCCACUAAUUUUUAAAGUCAACAGGCCAGCAGUACCCAGUUAACCGAGAUGUCAACACUGUGGAGUUGUAGGUCAUAUUUCAUCAUCUAGAAGGAUACACUGCUGCCAGGCUUGCAGUUUUCCAUACGUGCACUCACACCUGCAUCUACCGCUUGAUUAAGAAAUACUGUGGUAUCUUCGAUAUCACUGUGUGGUUACUGAUGCGUCCUCAAAUCUACUCACAGAAGAGGAAGGAGUUAAUGACUGCGACUGGCUGCAUGAACUCUCCAGCCUCUCCCAGGACUUCCCAAAGCAGAUGAUUUUUUUACGUCUCUGUGCCUGCAUUAAAGGGAAGGGCAAUAAGAAAAUGAGAUAAGCAUGUUUUCAAAACUCAAGCCAUAUCUACUUUGUGACAGAAUAAACCAAGCACCAUAACCAGAACAAACCAGUGACCAUGCUUCAGCUGCAUCUCAGACUGCCAGCCACUGCCAGGAAGAAGUGUCUGAAGGUGUUACAGUGGGUCAUCCUUGCUCGUCUUACACUGGCAGCAUAUAUGGAUUCGGAGUUGUGUCAUCGUUUUUUCAGAUCUGUCAUUAUGAAGGUAUUUCUUCCAAGAAUAUCCCCAGUUUUUUUCUGCACUGACAGCUGUUCACUUUUUUUCCCCCCUCAUUGGUUUCAUGGUGGGCAAUUAUGCUUUUAAAUAGAGGUGUUUUAUAUUUUUGUCUUCAGAUGUUUUGUGUGGGGGCAUGUAUACUGCUUGCAUGCUCCAUGUGAUAACUGGAAAGAUUUAACAAAGACUCAACUCAAUCUGGGGCACAUAGCACAGGCUUUAUUGGGUUGUUCUUCUAUAGACUGGCCAACCAUCAUUUGCCAUUCUGGAUUAAGAUAAACAAAAUAAGCAACAACUUUGAUUUCAACAUCCAUGAAUGUCCUAUCUCUUGAUUAUUGUUUAGCAAGCUGGUGGUAUUCUGUAAUCAUUUCAGAACUCCGAGUAGAACCUAGUAAAGAGACAGCUGAGCCCUAGGUAACCUUUAUACAGUUUGAAAGCUAGCAAUAGGCAACUGCCUCUAACACAGACUUGCGAUUUAUAACUCUUUAUUCCAUAGCUUCUCCCAAAACAAAGUCAGCUUGUGUACCUUCUGUGGACAAUUAUCAUCUUAAUGAGACAGGACAUCUAAUCUCAUUUGUUAAUGGCAGCCUCCUGCUCAACCAAAUUGUAUUUUAUACCGUCACAAGAGGUUGACUUACCAUAUUCACCAAGCUGAUUUUGUUGAAUAUAUCACACCCUGCUAUUAGACUCUGAUGGUCUUUAUUGGUAUGUUGACCUAUAUACCACAACAUGCAGAAACUGCUGUGCAGAGUCCUCCUUAUUCCAUAAGAAACAUUUUCUUUGUCUUGUGGCACAUCACAACACCUAAUUACUUACCUCACUUUUCCAGACCUACACUUGUGAUUCUAACAUUCCAGUAAUAUGAAUUAUUCUUCUUGGAUUUAAUGUUACCAAUUAAAUCACAUUUUCUCU